rnacentral:lncRNA from 1 species
CCAGCUGAGCUGGGUUGGUCUCAUCCUCCUGACGUUUGUUCCCUGUGGGCAGGACAGGCCUGCGAUGGCCCCAUCAUCACCCAGCUGUCACGCUCUGUCAUCCCAGAUUCACCCAGCAAAGAGCCAUAGGAGGAUAUGCCUGAGGAGCGGGACCCUUGGUUCAGCCUCUUGUCAACUCUGACCUCAGCCAAAUGGCUGAAAUUAAGCCUCUUUUUUCAUCUGGAUAAAUGGAGAUAAAAAUCCUUAUUUCAUGGGCACCUUCUCCUCAACGUUGCUACACGCGAGCCCAGUGCCUCCAUGAGUCCUGGUUUCCUUCUCCUCCCUCCUCACGGCCUUUCUUUGUUCUACCAGGUGCCUGUCCAGCUGUGUGCCUGGCAUCCCGCCGUUCUAGAAGCGUGACACCUGGCAUCUCUGUUCCCCAUUACUCCGCUCCGUGGGUCCGUUCAUUAGGUCUCUACCUUUGUGCUUCAGUUAACGGCUGAAUGUUUGUGCCUCCUCAAAAUUCCUGUGUGGACGUCUUAGUACUUAAUGUGUCUCUAAGGAUGUUGGGAAGGUUAAAUGAAGUCUUAGGAGCGGGGCCCAGAUCCAGCAGCAUUGGCGUCCUUCUGGGAAGAGACACGCAGUGCUCUCUCUCCCCCUCCUCCCCUCAGCACCCGCACAAAGAAGAGAUCCUGUGACACACAGAAAGAUGGCAGCCGUCUGUAAGUCAAGAGACAAAAAUCUGAGCAUGAAAUCUACCUUGCCAGCCCCGUAAUCCUGAUCUGCCAGUGUCCAGAGCUGAGAGAAAAUGUCCGUUGUGUACGCAGCCUCAUCUGUGGAAUUCAUCAUGGCAGCUGAGAGGACACGGGGACACCUUCCACUGCAGUGACAGCCACCUUUCCUUCCCUGUGUGUACGACUAGACACAGAUUCCUCUGCUCGUAGCUGAGAAUCAGAUACCAUCUAUUUCACACAAUAAGAUGUUCUAUUUUCCCCCUAAUUAUUUCUUCUCCGUCUGAUAAGAUGACUCUUCUAGAAUUCUUUCAUGUUCUUUCUCUCCUGUCCCCGUCAAAGAUGAGAUCCUUGGGAAGUUUAUCAUUUUCCCCUGCCCAUGACUUGUAGAGGUUGCUGAGCUGUGACUUUUAUAAAUAGACUAUCGUUAGAAUUUUUGCUUCUAGUACGGACCUUCUAUUUCAGGAACCCUUAUUUAGCACUCGGAUGACACAGUCUGAGACAGGUCUGGCCUUAUUCAUUUUGAUUUAAUGUAUGCAGGUAUCAAGGUCCGCCACUCACCACUGUGUCUUUCCCUUGUCAUGCUUCUUCAUUUUGUGAGCUCUGCUCUGUCUCAUUUACGUUCAGGCUUGAGUCUUCUCUGGAGUCUUUUACUUGAAUGAGGGAUACAGGGGAUGAAUGAGGACGGGACUUGCUCCCGGACGCCUCCCUUUUGCCUCCAGAGGGCAGGGAACAGGAUUCUUGGGGGAAGGCCUUUGCUGGGCAUGAGGUUGACCUGACCGCCCUGCCCACCCCCACCCCAUCCCCACCCUCAGGCUUGGCCAUGUGGCAGGCUCGCGUCAACAAGACAGGCUCAGAAGUGAUGGAGGACAUUUCUGAGCAGAAGCUUUCAGGACCAUGGCCAGAUCUGCCGGAGUCCCUUCCCCCUCAGGGACCUUGGAAGCCCCUGGCGGGGGCAGCGUCUGUCAACCUGGGUCUCAGAGGGGCCUCACUGAGCAGAGCUCCCUGUCAACUCACAUGAGCCAGAAAUAAGCUUUUGUAAUUGUAAGCCACUGAUUUUUUAAUUAAAAAACUUUUGGGUACUGCUAUGUCUUAGUCAACUCAGCUGCUACAACAAAAUUCCACAGCAGGGACCCAGGCC